ACCAAGUUAGAAAAAGGAGUUAUGUGCAUCAUUGUUCUUUAAAUAUGUUUCUUUCGGAGCAGCUUCUUUUCUUUGAGUGGAACUUUAUGUUUGUGUUUGAUAUUUUAGGGACAAGAACGGGGUGUCUGGCUGCAGCACCUUACCUAUGGCGUUUUUGGCCUGGGUAAUCGCUAAUAUGAACACUUUAACAAGUUCCAGAAUGUAUAGAGGAUUGAGCGCUUGGACCGUCUUCUGUUCACUUGCUCAUAUGCAGCAACCGUCUGGAAUAAGCUUAUAUCGUGUCAACAUGUACCUAGAAGAGCCAUGAGCUGGCAAAAUAAAGUGCAAUGGAUGAUCCAGAAAGCUACAGGAAGAAAUGUCGAGGUUACUGGUAAGGUCACUUAUGAUGGACAUGAACUACAUGAAUUUGUGCCACAAACAACUGUUUAUAGCAGUCAACAUGACUUGCAUACUGGAGAAAUGACUGUAAGGGAAACUUUAGAAUUUUCUGCAAGAUGUUGGCUCUACAUUUGAGAUGUUGACUGAACUAUCAAGAAAAGAGAAACCUGCUAAUAUCAAACCAGAUCCUCAUAUUGAUAUCUACAUGAAGGCUGCAGCAACAGAAGGACAUGAAAUCUGAAUUUUGAGGAAGAGUGGAAAAAUCCUUAUGAAACUCCGUGGCCUCCCUGUUGUCGGUUUUGUAAGAAUUUCAAGAGUAAAUCAUUUACCGGAUCAACAAAAGAAAAAGAAGUAGAAUGUGAAUGCACAAAUUACUGGCAACAAAUGUACUGGGAAACACAUUUGCAAAGGUACGAACAUCAAAUGAUCUAUUUCUUAGGGCUAACAACUAUUUUACACGGCUUCAGUUAACCUGUAAUGUGAUGACUUCAUUUUCAGUUUUUGGAAUGUUGUCCCUGGUCCAAUCUAUUUUGCCUUAAAGAAUUUUAGAAGUUGAAAAAACCCGAUUUGUUGUAAUCUUAUAGAACACUUAUAAUUGUUAUGAUCUGCUUUGCACAUUUUGUCUGAUUCUACACUGAUUGGCCACAUAGACAAAUAUUGAGGAUUUAAGUGUGGGAAAGGGUUGAAAGGUAGCAUCAUGCUGUCUCUUCCUGCACCAUCCACAUUCCAUAUCAAAAAAGAAAAAGAAGCCAGAAGCAAAAAAAAGAUUUCACUUCUGUUGAACAGGCCGAACAACAAAGUGAACAACAAAGUGAAAGGAAACAUCAUGCCGUCUCUUCGUGCACCAUCCAUAUUCCAUAUCAAAGAAGGAAUCAUGCCGUCUCUUCGUGCACCAUCCAUAUUCCAUAUCAAAGAAGGAAGCAAGAAGUAAAAAAAAAGAUUCCACUUCUGUUGAACAGGUCGAACAACAAAGUGAACACCAAACUAUGCUCAUGAUGAAACAAAAAAUGGAGCCAUCAACUCCAAUGAAAACAAAAAAUGUUGCUAACACAUUGCUUUCGUAUUCUGUCUUUCAAUAUUUAUAAUGUAUCUUCAAUAUAAUUUAUACUAUACUAUUUUCGCACUUA